CAACUCUGUUCUGCAGAGUAGCUGUUGACAUUAUAGUUGCGCAGGCACUUUGUUGACUCUAGAGAACCUCGGGCCAAUCGGAUGUCAUCCAUAUCAACUUUCGAUGCCAGUUUCUGCGCCUACCAUGGUGACCACGGGUAAUGGGGAAUUAGGGUUCCAUUCCGUACAGGGACCCUUAGAAACGGCUACCACAUGCAAGGAAGGCAGCAGGCGCGCAAAUGACCCACUCCCGACGCGGGAAGGUAGUGA